rnacentral:rRNA from 1 species
CCUACGGGAGGCAGCAGUAGGGAAUCUUCCACAAUGGGCGCAAGCCUGAUGGAGCAACACAGCGUGAGUGAAGAAGGGUUUCGGCUCGUAAAGCUCUGUUGUUGGAGAAGAACGUGCGUGAGAGUAACUGUUCACGCAGUGACGGUAUCAAACCAGAAAGUCACGGCUAACUACGUGCCAGCAGCCGCGGUAAUACGUAGGUGGCAAGCGUUAUCCGGAUUUAUUGGGCGUAAAGGGAGCGUAGGUGGUUGGUUAGGUCUGAUGUGAAAGUCUGCGGCUUAACCGAAGAAGUGCAGCUGAAACCGGGCGUCUUGAGUACAGUAGAGGACAGUGGAACUCCAUGUGUAGCGGUGGAAUGCUUAGAUAUAUGGAAGAACUCCAGUGGCGAAGGCAGCUGUCUGGUCUGCAACUGACGCUGAGGCUCGAAAGUGUGGGUAGCGAACAGGAUUAGAUACCCGGGUAGUC